rnacentral:tRNA from 1 species
GCUGGCCCUGGGGGAGCUGGACCAUCCGGACGUGGUCCGCUGCAACGAGGAGAUGGCCGCCCGGAUCCCCGGCUGCCGUUCGGUCCGCCUGGCCGCCUCC